GUGUAUGUAGAUUAUAGAAUAAAAUCACAAUGCUGUUAACUUUGAGAAGAUUCGUCCGUACGCG
rnacentral:tRNA from 1 species